GGUGUUUUGAGUGUUUUGUUUUCAUUCCUUUUAGGUGAGCCAUCAUCCGAUAUCAUGGAUCUGCAUUGGCAUUUUGGAAAAAGGAAAUAAAUGUUUUCUGGCGCGUUUCGAACGAAGGUUAUGUGGAAAAGCUUGUGCGUGUGGAGAUGUACAGCAGAUUACCAUGGCAACACAGGUUAUAGAAAAACCUGUGCUUGUGGAGAUCUACAGCAGAUGACCAUGACAACCCAGGUGUGGAAAUAGGGGACUGUUUUUAAUCUGAAAUCUGUAUAGUCAAAGAUGGACAAUUCUUCUGACACCAUAUUAUUGUUCUUAAAGCAAAACAUA